AUUGAACGCUGGCGGCAUGCUUUACACAUGCAAGUCGAACGGCAGCACGGGGCAACCUGGUGGCGAGUGGCGAACGGGUGAGUAAUAUAUCGGAACGUACCCAAGAGUGGGGGAUAACGUAGCGAAAGUUACGCUAAUACCGCAUACGAUCUAAGGAUGAAAGCAGGGGAUCUUCGGACCUUGUGCUCCUGGAGCGGCCGAUAUCUGAUUAGCUAGUUGGUGAGGUAAAGGCUCACCAAGGCGACGAUCAGUAGCUGGUCUGAGAGGACGACCAGCCACACUGGAACUGAGACACGGUCCGGAAUCGUACGGGAGGCAGCAGUGGGGAAUUUUGGACAAUGGGCGAAAGCCUGAUCCAGCAAUGCCGCGUGAGUGAAGAAGGCCUUCGGGUUGUAAAGCUCUUUUGUCAGGGAAGAAACGGUUGUGGCUAAUAUCCAUGGCUAAUGACGGUACCUGAAGAAUAAGCACCGGCUAACUACGUGCCAGCCGCCGCCGUAA
rnacentral:rRNA from 1 species